rnacentral:lncRNA from 1 species
GAAAAACAACUGUGUCUGAAGCAUUCAGAUUGCCUAUGUUCUGAUUAGACAACGCACAGCCACAAAAAAGGAAAACUGAGGGAAUACUGUCACUACACCAGUGAUGAUACUUUAACACUAAGUACCUAACCAGAAAGAUUUUGUGGUAUCUAUUGUUUUUGCCUGAGGCUUGGACGAUAGACAAAGAAUUUGAGGACAUGAGUAAAUUUCUGGCACUACAGAAGUGAGUGCUGGAGACAGAAGAUCAGAGCUCUGUAAGGAUCUGAAAAGUAACUGCUGGGGAACAGGAGGAUGUGUGGAGACUCCGGCUGCAAUGUCUGAAGAAGAUAAGCCUCCCCAAGCAUCAGUGAG